UACGUAGGUGGCGAGCGUUGUCCGGAAUUAUUGGGCGUAAAGCGCGCGUAGGCGGGCUUUUAAGUCUAUUCUAAAAGUGCGGGGCUCAACCCCGUGAUGGGAUAGAAACUAAUAUUCUUGAGUACCGGAGAGGAAAGCGGAAUUCCCAGUGUAGCGGUGAAAUGCGUAGAUAUUGGGAGGAACACCAGUGGCGAAGGCGGCUUUCUGGACGGUGUCUGACGCUGAGGCGCGAAAGCCAGGGGAGCGAACGGG
rnacentral:rRNA from 1 species